CUUUUUUAAUCUCAUUUUUGUCGAAAGCCUAAAAGCAGAAAGCUCCUCUGUCCAAAUGGUAAAAAGAGAUCCAACAAAACAGCAUCAAAAAUCAAUGGCGGCUGCUAAUCAAAUAAACAUUUUAUCUUUCACAGCAAAAACAUUACAGUACAUCAGUAUCAGAGCAGGUCUCAGUAUCUUUAAGGAGGUAGUUCAACCUGAGGCCCUUCAGCUCUACGGAAUAAAAUGCAAGCUUUAUUUUUUUUAUUUGUAGGUAUGAACAAGGGUAGAAUUGAAGAACUAGAGAUUAUUAUUUUUUUAUUUGUUGGUAUAAAUAAGUGUAAAGUGGAAGAGUUAAAGAGUAUAUUUAUUUAGAACUGCUUUUAUUUACUAUAGGGAAUUGGUAGAAUUAGGAAUGAUCCAAGUUUUAAAAAUGAGAGUUUUGCCUGUAUGUCUCUCUAUUAUAGUUGGAUAGUAAUAUUUAAUUGUAUACGCAGAUGUUGGAAUUCAAAAUAGCAAUUGAAUUAUCACAAAUA